rnacentral:tmRNA from 1 species
GGGGCUGAUCGGUUUCGACGGUGAUCUGUUCGUCGCAGAGAAGCGUGCCGAGAACGCGGGGGUCCGCUCGUAAAUGUCCUCCCGCAAACAACAAGUGCUAAAUCUAACCGCUCUGAGUUCGCUCGCGCUGCCUGAGCUUCGCGCCAGGAAUAAACAGUGCGCAGUGGCUCCGUGCACUCUC